AACGAACGCUGGCGGCAUGCCUAACACAUGCAAGUCGAACGAGCCCUUCGGGGUUAGUGGCGCACGGGUGCGUAACGCGUGGGAAUCUGCCCUUGGGUUCGGAAUAACAGUGAGAAAUUACUGCUAAUACCGGAUGAUGUCUUCGGACCAAAGAUUUAUCGCCCAAGGAUGAGCCCGCGUAGGAUUAGCUAGUUGGUGGGGUAAUGGCCUACCAAGGCGACGAUCCUUAGCUGGUCUGAGAGGAUGAUCAGCCACACUGGGACUGAGACACGGCCCAGACUCCUACGGGAGGCAGCAGUGGGGAAUAUUGGACAAUGGGCGAAAGCCUGAUCCAGCAAUGCCGCGUGAGUGAUGAAGGCCUUAGGGUUGUAAAGCUCUUUCAGCUGGGAAGAUAAUGACGGUACCAGCAGAAGAAGCCCCGGCUAACUCCGUG
rnacentral:rRNA from 1 species